GCCUUCUCUUUAAAGCACCCUGCUAAAACUGUGACUGCUAGGCCUCACAGCUUGGCUCUUGCAGACAUGUGAGUAUGGGUACACCGGAGAAGGAUAGCAACGGCUCAGCGUCGUAAACGAGACCUGGACGGACCUCUUUCUUAAUGUCCAGUGUCCUUGGUCUCAAGACGCUGUGCUACAUCA